rnacentral:rRNA from 1 species
UUAAGCUAUAAAGAGCAUAGGGUGGAUGCCUAGGCACUGAGAGCCGACGAAAGACGUGAUAAGCUGCGAUAAGCUGCGGUAAGGAGCAAAUAUCCAUUGACCCGCAGAUUUCUGAAUGGGGAAACCUACGCAAGAAGACCUUGCGUACUCAUACAUGAAUACAUAGUGUAUGAGAGGGAACCCGGGGAACUGAAACAUCUAAGUACCCGGAGGAAGAGAAAGAAACAUCGAUUUCCUGAGUAGCGGCGAGCGAAAGGGAAAGAGCCCAAACCAGAGGAUUUAUCCUUUGGGGUUAGGACUGCAUAAUUGAUCUGCAAUUGAUAGGAGAACGGUCUGGGAAGUCCGGCGAGAAAGCGUGAAAGCCGCGUAUCCGAAAUCGAAAGCAGCAAGGCAGGAUCCAGAGUACCACGAGACACGAGAAACCUUGUGGGAAUGAGCGGAGACCACUCCGUAAGGCUAAAUACUACUCAGUGACCGAUAGCGCAUAGUACUGUGAAGGAAAGGUGAAAAGGACCCCGGGAGGGGAGUGAAAGAGAACCUGAAACCCUGUGUUUACAAGCUGUCGAAGCACGAAAGUGCGACGGCGUACUUUUUGUAGAACGGUCCGGCGAGUUAUGAUGAGUGGUAAGGUUAAGGACUUAAGGUCCGGAGCCGAAGCGAAAGCGAGUGUUAAAAGCACGGUUGAAUCGCUUAUCAUAGACCCGAAACCGGGUGAUCUAUCCAUGUCCAGGUUGAAGCUGCCGUAAGAGGUAGUGGAGGACCGAACACACAUCCGUUGAAAAGGGUGGUGAUGAGGUGUGGAUAGGGGAGAAAUUCCAAUCGAACCCGGAGAUAGCUGGUUCUCCUCGAAAUAGCUUUAGGGCUAGCCUCUGGUUAGUCUGCCGCAGGUAGAGCACUGAAUUUCCUAGGGGGCGUCAAAGCCUACCGAAGAAUAUCAAACUGCGAAUGGCGGACAGAUGAUGCCAGGGAGUCAGACUGCACGAGAUAAGUUGGGUGGUCAAAAGGGAAAGAGCCCAGACCUACAGCUAAGGUCCCAAAGUGUGUGUUAAGUGGAAAAGGAUGUGGGAUUUCGAAGACAACUAGGAUGUUGGCUCAGAAGCAGCCACACAUUAAAAGAGUGCGUAAUAGCUCACUAGUCGAGAGGUCCUGCGCCGAAAAUGUCCGGGGCUAAAACACAACACCGAAGCUUAGGAAUUCUAAUGAAUUGGUAGAGGAGCAUUGAAGACGGAACGAAGCCAUACCGAAAGGAAUGGUGGACUGUCUUGAAGAGAGAAUGCCGGAAUGAGUAGCGAGAUUGAAGUGAGAAUCUUCAAGGCCGAAUAUCUAAGGUUUCCAGGGUAAAGCUGAUCUGCCCUGGGUAAGUCGGGGCCUAAGGCAAGGUCGAAAGACGUAGUCGAUGGAUAACAGGUUGAAAUUCCUGUACUGCAUCAAAUCAGAAAUGUGGGGACACAUGAGGGAAGCAUGAGCCGGAAAAGGAAAGUCCGGUACAAGCGCAGCAGAGGACAGAUAGGCAAAUCCGUCUGUCAACUCGAGGGCGCGAUGUGGAGCGAACCAAAGUAGCGAAGCAUGUGGAGCUUGUGUCGAGAAAAGCCGCUAUAGUGUUUGAUGUACCCGUACCGUAAACCGACACAGGUGGAUGAGGAGAGAAUCCUAAGGCCGGCGGGAGAAGCAUUGUUAAGGAACUCGGCAAAAUGACCCCGUAACUUCGGGAGAAGGGGUGCUCCAGAGAUGGAGCCGCAGAGAACUGGCCCAAGCAACUGUUUAGCAAAAACACAGGUCUAUGCAAAACCGAAAGGUGAGGUAUAUGGGCUGACGCCUGCCCGGUGCUGGAAGGUUAAGAGGAGAUGUUAAUCGCAAGGUGAAGCAUUGAAUUUAAGCCCCAGUAAACGGCGGCCGUAACUAUAACGGUCCUAAGGUAGCGAAAUUCCUUGUCGGGUAAGUUCCGACCCGCACGAAAGGCGUAAUGAUUUGGGCACUGUCUCGACAA